rnacentral:lncRNA from 1 species
AAUUAUUCAAAGCAGAGAAAGUACUUAGUAUCAGUUGAUUGACACCUGCAUGUUUCCUUGUGGGGUAGGUAGAUGGAGUAGUGCUGAGACAAGGUCUUGUGGCCUAGGAUGGCCUUGAAUUUGUAGAAUUUGGGAAGGCUUCUACCUUCCCAGUCCUAGGAUUACAAGUGUGUGCCACACACCUAGCCUGACACUUGUAUGCUUUAAACUCUAAAAAGGAGCAAGUGAGUUUAUUUUUAUCGUUUUCUUUCACAUAUAUGUGUUCUUUGAUGGGAGAACUUGCAUCCUCAAAUAAAUUCCUAACUCUUGGCUUAUUUUUCUGUUUCUGACUUUGAAAGAUUAAAGACUAGGCUGGGUGUGAUGGUGUGGGGGCUCACACUGUAAUCAGAGCUCUGUGAGUGUGAGGCCAGCCUAGUCUACACAGUAGGUUCCAGAGCUCUGUGAGGAUAAGGCCAGCCUGGUCUACAUAACAAGUUUCAGGCCCACCAGAGCUUCUUAGUGAGACCCUAUUGCAAACUAAACAAAAUACAAAAACAAAACAAAGUAAAUAAAUAGUAAAGCAUGUGGUAUUAUAUUUCGGUACUCCCAGCAUUCAGAAAACUACCAGAAGUUCCAAGCCAGCCUGAACUAUGUAAUGAAAGCCUGUUUCCAUUAAAUAAAUAGAAAAUGUAUAAAAGCAAAUGAGUAAAAAUAAAUAACUGAGCUGUGAAUGUAGCUCACUCUUAGAGCACUUGCCUACCAUGCACAAGACACUGGAUUCAGUCCUAGUACCUAAGGGAAAAGGAGAAUAACUACAUUCCCAGGCAAGUUGUAUGUCAAAGGAAAGAUCUUAAAUGCAUUACUUUUGAGAGGCAGAAUAGCAAAUGAGAGCAUAGACAUAAACACAGACAGAAUUCGGAGGUCAGGGCUAUACAAGGAGGCUGAAGAGAUUGCUCAGGGCUUAAGAGCACUGACUGCUCUGGCAGAGGAUCUGGGUUUUGGUCCCAGCACCCUUCAUGUGGUUCUCAACUGCCUGUAACUAGUUCCAGGUGAUCCAGUGCUCUCUUUUGAUCUCUGUAGAUACCUGCUGGUACAGGAUGCACAUAAACCCAUGUAGGCAGCCAUGCACACACACAUAUACACAUAAAUAAAAAUAAAUAUAGUCUUGUAAAAAGAAAAAUCCACAGGACUGGAGAGAUAGCUCAGCCAUUAAAGGGUAGCUCACAACCACAGCAUCAAGAAGAACACAUGGAACAGAAAGAGACUGUUUACAGCUAGGAGCUGACUGACUGACGAGCAGCUUACCUUUGGAAAAGUCUUCUUCUAAGUCUUGUGUACUGAUCUCAAACAUGGGAAUUUAACAGCUUGUUUUAUGAGGUGGUUGAAUUGGGUUUUUUUGGUUUUGUUUUGUUUCGUUGUUUUGAUUUUUUGUUUGUUUGUUUAGUCAGUCUAGGCCUGAAGCUUUCUGUGCAGCCCAGACUGGCCUCAAAGUCUUGAGCACUUGAUGUCCCUGCUUCUCCUUCCCAAGUGGUAGGAUUGUACCUGUACACCACCAUCACAGGCUUGAGGACUUUAUCCCAGUGUCCAGUUGAUUCAGGACUUCAGAAGUAACUCUUAAAUGAUGAGAGGGCUGGAGUGGCAGUCCUGAAGCAGGAAACCACUUCAUGAGCUAGAGGCCAGGGGCGAAGGGCAAGGAGAGGUGACAGUGUCACAUCCCCCAGAAGGCAACAGUGAGCUUCAUUGUAUACGCUCAUAAGUUUUCUCAUUUUGUUUGUUGUUGUUAUUGAGACAGGGUUUCGUUGUGGACAUCCCUGGCUGUUCUGGAACUCAGGGAUCCUUCCCUGCCUCUACCUCCCAAACACGGUAAAGAUGUGCGCCACUCCCACCUCCACUUUGCCCCACCCCCCUACCUCCAGCUAACACUUCAUUUUUUUUCAGUUCACUUUUGACCUUUUUUUUUUUUUUCCAGACAGGAUCUCUAUGUAGCCCUGGUUCUCCUGGAACUUGUUAGGAAGAUCAGGAUGUCCUCAAACUAAAAAGAUCAGCACAUGCCUUUAAUCCCAGCACUUGAGAGGCAGAGGCAAGCAGAUCUCUGAGUAGACCAGCCUGGUCUACAGAGUGAGUUCCAGGACAACCAAGUGUACACAGAGAAAGCCUGUCUCCAAAACCAAAAACAAUAAAAGGAGGCCAGCUUAGUCUAAUCAGGGUACCCCAGAGCCUAUUUCAGGAGGACAGAUUGGCCACUUCCUGGGUAACAGCAUCAGAGGCUGACCUCUGCCUUCCAUGUGAGCAUACACUACCUCAAAAGAGUUACCAACAGGCUGCAGGCUGUACUCUGGGUACUCCGGCCCACUGCCCUCUUGGAAUGUAUUCAACAAACUGUUCGUCUCCCAAAAUAUAGUUAUACAUGUAUUUGUAUGCAUAUUUAUGUUCCUUUUUCCUUUUAAAAUAGUCUCAUUUAGCCUGGGCUCACCUGUAACUUGUAUAGCCAAAGAUGACCUUGAAUUUUUGACCCUCCAGCCUCUGUUCUGAAUGCUAGGUUUACAGGCUCAUGCCCCUCCCUGCUGGGAAUAGAAACCAGGGCUUCAAAUGUUCUAGGGAGGCAAACACGAUACCAACAGAGCUACAUUCCCCAGCCCUGGCAGCUGCAACUUUUAUAUUGACUUAAUUCCUUGCCAGCUGACAAGAAGUCUCAAUUAUGAGGUCCAGGUCCAUUGUCACAAGACGGGGCAAAUAAGGCUGGAUUUGGAGGGAGAGAUAAGUUGAUGCUUGCCAUAAUCUCUGAAGUUACAAUGAAAGACUGGGGGAAAUGAAAUUCAUAACAUAAAAAGUAUACUUCUGCAGAAGUGUUGAGUUACUUCAUAAAGGUAGACUCGUUCAUCAUCAGCGCUAAUUCACUAACCUAGAUGUUUGCUGUGAGAGCAGCAUUCAGAUACACGAGUAAAACACUACAGUUUUUUUUAAAGCACAUCACGUUGUAGUUAAAGUAGAAAAUAGUGGUUUUCAAAGCAUUAACCCAUUGUGCCUUGCUGAGUGUUUGGAACUGGAAACUUGAGGCUUGUAUUAGCUAUGAAAGCGCAUGGUUACAGCCCAACACUUGGAAGGUGGCAGCCAAAGAGUCAGAGUUCAAAGUCAUACAUGGCUACGUAGCAACUGUGUUGGCAGUCUAUGCUACACAAGACCCUGUUUCCAAAAGCAAAAAUAAAUCAAUAAAAUGUGAAGUUUGGGGAAUAUUUGUUUACUUGAGACACCUUUUCACUGUGUAGUUUAAGCUGGUCUUAGACUUGUACUGAGCCAUUUCCCUGGCUCAGCUCUGUUGUGCUGGGACCAUAGACAUUGUCAAUCAUUUAUCCAGCUUCAAACCCUGAGGCUGUUAAGCAUGUGUGCUCUGUAAGGCUGUCCUGUUCUGUCAUUAUCUGCGGAUGCACAGCCCAGGAGGAGCAUUGUCCCCUCACCAUGCUCAGUUUGUGAGGAGCCAUGCUCUGUAAGCCUGCUGCCAAGGAGGGCUGCACAGAGGCCUCGGGAGUGGGUGACAUCACGUUCUGCUAGGCACUAGCAAUGGAAGAAAACAAAUAAGUAAGGGAAAUGUAGUCGACUGUGCCAAGCACAUUGAAUUAAUCUACUGUUGUCAAUGGAACAUUUACUUUGUGGAGGGAGUGGAACAUGCUGAAGCACACGUGGAGUCAGAAGACAGGUCGCAGGAGUGGCUUCCUCCUCCCACCAUGUGGCUUCUGGGGAUCAAGCUUGGCAGCAAGCACCUUUACUGCUGAGCCAUCUCAGCCUUAAAAGAAUUUUAACCACACAGUUGGCUGAAGUCCAUUUGGAUUAGGGAACACAGUAAGGAUGGGGCGAGGCUGAGGGAGGAUUUAUCUCCUUCCCACUGGUCCUCAUUUUCCCUUUCUAAUGGAUUCGGUGACCCCAUGCCUCGGCAUCACAGUCAGAUCCCAUCACCCCAGGACUGGCCACACUUGCAGCCCUCACUUGGUGUCAGCCCCCUCUCCAGCUCUCUCAGAGCCUCAGCUUGGUGGCCCAUCUGCUAAGUGAAUUACGAUUUCUUUUGUUUUUUAUUCUCCAGCACUUUUAAAUUACAUAUAAAAUAUCAAAGAACUGUGCCAAGCAUGGUGGCACAUAUUUUAAAUCCCAGUAAUUGGGAGGCAGAGGCAGUCAGAUCUCGAUGAGUUUAAGGACAGCCUGAUCUACAUACAGAAAGUGUUCCAGAACAGCUCUGGUUACACAGAGAAACCCAUAUCC